AGAGUUUGAUCCUGGCUCAGGAUGAACGCUAGCGGCAGGCCUAAUACAUGCAAGUCGAACGGUAACAUGAGAGCUUGCUCUUGAUGACGAGUGGCGCACGGGUGCGUAACGCGUAUGCAACCUACCCUUUACUGGGGGAUAGCCCGGAGAAAUCCGGAUUAAUACCCCAUGGUUCCUGACCAACGAAUGUUGCGUUAGGAUAAAGAUUUAUUGGUAAAGGAUGGGCAUGCGUGACAUUAGUUAGUUGGUGAGGUAACGGCUCACCAAGACGAUGAUGUCUAGGGGUUCUGAGAGGAAGAUCCCCCACACUGGUACUGAGACACGGACCAGACUCCUACGGGAGGCAGCAGUAGGGAAUAUUGGGCAAUGGAGGCAACUCUGACCCAGCCAUGCCGCGUGCAGGAAAACAGCUUUCUGAGUUGUAAACUGCUUUUAUAUAGGAACAAAGAGGCCAUGCGUGGCAAGUUGCGUGUACUAUAUGAAUAAGCACCGCUAACU
rnacentral:rRNA from 1 species